AGUGAACGCUGGCGGUAGGCCUAACACAUGCAAGUCGAACUGCAGCACAGUAAGAGCUUGCUCUUACGGGUGGCGAGUGGCGGACGGGUGAGGAAUACAUCGGAAUCUACUUUUUCGUGGGGGAUAACGUAGGGAAACUUACGCUAAUACCGCAUACGACCUACGGGUGAAAGCAGGGGAUCUUCGGACCUUGCGCGAUUGAAUGAGCCGAUGUCGGAUUAGCUAGUUGGCGGGGUAAAGGCCCACCAAGGCGACGAUCCGUAGCUGGUCUGAGAGGAUGAUCAGCCACACUGGAACUGAGACACGGUCCAGACUCCUACGGGAGGCAGCAGUGUGGAAUAUUGGACAAUGGUCGCAAGCCUGAUCCAGCCAUACCGCGUGGGUGAAGAAGGCCUUCGGGUUGUAAAGCCCUUUUGUUGGGAAAGAAAAGCAGCAGGUUAAUACCCCGCUGUUCUGACGGUACCCAAAGAAUAAGCACCGGCUAACUUCGUG
rnacentral:rRNA from 1 species